CUGCAGUGUCUCGGCGCCGCACGCCCGCACCGGCCUCAGUCUUGCUGAAUUGAGCGGGCCCAGCCUGCGGCGGCAACAACGGGUCUCGGACCGACCAUGAGCCUGGGGACUUUGUCUCCAACGACUGCGGGUGCAGCGGCCUGAGUUCUAAACGCAGGUUGAAGACUACAGGUGCAAGCCAAUGAAGCUGGAAUGCCCUGACGCUGGUAUUUUAACUGACUUACACCAACUAUCACUCUGCAGUUUACAACACACAAGUGCCUCCAGUGAGGUCAACUAUUCUCACAUAACUUGUAGCAACCACGUAUCUGCACUGGCUUAGGAGUUUAGGGCAGUGGGAUAGUGCUGGUGGUUUAAUUCUCACAACUCUGUGAAGUGGAUACUAUAAAAUUACAGAUGAAGCAGUAGUUCAGGUAGUGAAUUGAGAUACCAUCACAUAUGCAUAGCCCUGAACAAGGAGCCUCAUAUGUACCUUUUUGGCUAUGUAAACUAUGAAAAGUCACUUCUCUGUCUUGAGAUUUAGUGUCCUGGUUGAACGGUAGAAGUAUUCAGAUGGAGAUUAGGUCAGUUUGGGGGCAGAGGCGGGGGGGGAGUGUUAAGGACCAGAGACUUAUUGUUGAGAACAUAAGCUCUUUAUAGUAUAUAAUUACAUUGAACCUAAAAGAAGUCAAAAUUUGGCACAAAAGGAGCAUCCAUCAGCAUGUUAAAUGCUUCUGAAGAAUGUAGCAUAAUGAGCUGUGAAAAGGAAUUUAAAGGACGCAAGGAUGCUAGAUAGUUAGAAUUUGAAAGUAUUGGAGGUGAUGGGAAAGUAUUCAUAUGGGAAGAAAUGUGUCAGUGUAGCAAGAUUAACAGCCCAGUGUGUGCUAGGAGUUCUUCCUGUUGAUCAGCUCUGAAUGUUUACAAAUACCUCAUUUUCCAGAAGUCUUAAAGGUAUUCACCUUGGGUUCAUUUUUAAUGCUUAUUUCAAAAUAUUGUUUUAGCCUCUGUUUAAACUUCAUUUCUUUUUAUAUUCCAUAUUAUUUUGUAAAAUCUAGCUUCCUAAUAUAGGAAAUUUAUGGAACAAAUGUUAGCGUAAUUGCUAGAGGGAAAACAAGGUAAGGGAAAUAGGAAGAGCGUGUAUAUGCACUGUGAGUGGAGGACAUGAUAAUUUCAGAUAGAGCUGGUCGGAGAAUGACUAACUACAGAAGACCUGAAAGAGCUGCGGGAGAUAACAUGGUUAUAUACAGUUGAUCCUUGAGCAACAUGGGUUUGAACUUCAUGGGUCUACUCAUACACAGAUAUUUUUUAAUAGUAAGUACUACAGUAUUACAUGGUCCAUGGAGGGCCAUCUAUAAAUUAUUCAGAUUAACCCUUACAUUGUGCAAAGGUCAACUGUAUAUAUUUGGGUGAAGAGCAUUUCAGGCAGAGGAAAAGUAAGUGCAAAGGCCCUGGGGAGGGAUGUGUUUAAAGGUUUGGGGGGAAAGCAAGGUGAAGAUGCAGAGAAGUGACCUUACGGGAGGAUUUGACAACAGUUUGUGUGCAGGGCUAAGGUAGAUAUUUUAGACCAUUCUAAGAUGGCAGCUUGCUUUCUGGCCUCUCAGGCCUCUGAAUGCUGUAACUUACUAUAGGUUCUCAGAUAUUUAACUUGAGCCCUAAACCCAUGAUUAUAGUACAAGGAGCAGUAUCAUUUAUAAAUAAGUUUAGUACUAUCGUUAAUUGUGUUGGAAUGAAUUAUAAAUUGCAUUCAAGUGGGUGGCUUACUUAGGAGUGGCAUAAUACGAGCCUAGAUUCAAAUCCCCACCCUAUAUGAUCUUAGACCAGUUACUUCUAAAGUUUCUUUAUCUGUAAGUUGAUAAUAAUGACAGUUACUAAAAAAACCCCUGGUGAGUAGUAAGCACUUAGUAGUGCUAUAGGGCCAUUUUGACAGUACCGUAUGAUCAUUGUAAUAUUGAAUCAAAAUGAAAAUACUGAUAUUUGAUAUUUAUAUGGUACUAAAAUGCUGGCUUUAAUGUUCAUAAAAAAUGAUAAGAGUACCUACUAGGGCCAGGUACUAUUCUAGGUGAACACAUGCAUGAACAAAGCAGAUCAGUGGAUGUGAUUGCGACUGGUCCACUGAUGGAGGCCUCCAGUGUAAAGGCUUGUGAUGCUUUCUUAAUUGAGUGCUGUGACUAGUUAGCAGUGUGCUGGUGGAGAGGGUAUUCGGUAGGCUAAAAGCCUAGAUGAGGUGACUUCAAAUGCUAACUACAAAAGUCUGAAGGCUCUAGCAAAGAUCCCAAGGAUAACCACUGGUUUCACAAAUAGCUCCACUCCACUGAGUCCUGGUGCUGGUUCUUUGCCCCUUGAGGAGUUACUUGGGCUGGGUAGACAGGUGGAGACCCUGGGUCUCCCACAGAUCCUCCCUCUCCCACCAACCAACUUCAACCAGUUACAGUCUUGUUCAUACUUUGGUUUUCCAAAUUUUUUUCUUUUUUUUUUUUUUAAGUAACAAGGCUUUUGGCUAAAAAGCUUGAAGUCCACUAGACUAAACAAUAGCAGGUGAAAGAUGUGAGCAGUUUUAUAGCCAGGGGGUAAAACUUUGGAGGAAAGACAGAACAACUUUUUAGUUGCUUCGGAGUCCAGAGUUUAAAACUAUAGAAACACUAGAACUGCACUGCCCAGUAGGACAGCUCUUAGUCACACGUGGCUAUUUAAGUCAAAACUAAAAUUAAAAAAUCAGGCCCCCAGUUGCAUUAGCCCCGUUUCAAGUGCUCAGUAGCCCCACCUGUGGCUAGGGGCUACUGUACUAGACAGCAGAUACAGGACAUUUCCAUUGCUGCAGAAAGUUUAUUGGCAGUACUGUUCUAGGGGUUAUAUGGUGAAGACAGAAGGAAAACCUAGAGAGAUGGUGUAGUAGGCUAAUGGCCCCAAAGAGAUCAGGUUCUCAAACCUAUAAAUGUUACCGUAUUUGAAAGAGGGUCACUGCAGAUGUGAUUAGGUUAAGGGUCUUGAGAUGGGGAAACUAUCCUGGAUCAUCUCUGUGGGCCCUAAAUCGAAUCACAAGUGCCUUUAUAAGAGGCAGGCAGGAGAUUCCGUGAACAGAGGAGGAGGCCAUGUGAAGAAGCAGAUUUAAUGUUGGCCUUGAGAUUGGAGUGAUGCAGCUUCUGGCUGAGGGACGUUGGCAGCCACCAGACGCUGGGAGGUGUGAGGAACGUGCUGAUUCCCAGCCCCCCAGAGCCUCCCGGGGGAGCAUACGCUUGAUUUGAUCCAGUGGAGUUGAGUUCUGACUUCUGGCCCACAGAACUGUGAGAGGAUAAAUUUCUGUUGUUUCAGUAAGCUACCAAGUUUGCAGUAAUCUGUUACAGGAGCCUCCGGUAUCCAAUACUGAUGGAAAGCGUAAGGUCACAAAUACAGCCAGAGCUGGAACCUCACCACACCACCCCCUACACUGCGUUUUCACUAAUACCUUACUGGUGGGUAGGUGAGGGUAGAUCUUAACUAUUAGUCAAUUUAAAAAUUUUCAGAGGUAUGGCAAUUAAGGUAAAAUUUAUUUAGAUUUCAAUCACAAGAGAUAUCAGCAUGUGGCUAGAAUAUGGAGGAUUAGCAAAUACUUCAUAAUAAAAUACAGAUUAUCAAGACAAAUAUAAGAAAUCAAUGUAUGAUUUAUUGGACUGUCAUUUGUGUAUACUUUUAAUAAAUUUCAUUACACAGUACAAAACACCACCCAAGUUGUAAAAAUUUGGUAACGGAAACUAAAACAAUAGGAAAAUAUUAUGUUGGUUAUAUAAUUUUUGCCUUGUAGGCCAUACAGCUUUGGCUAGCAGUGUCCCAGAGGUAACAAAGACUUGGCUCAUGUUUACACAGAAUGUAAAACUGAAUUUCUGGGAGGUUUAAAAAAAACAGUAUAACUAAUAGAACUAGUUUUCUCAGGGUCACUACCACAGGGCUCUGACUUGUCAUCCAUACAUUGGAAUUUUGAUGUACUGAAUAUCUAGGUUACGACAAUACUGAUACUGAAUAAUGGCAGCUUCAUGCUAGAGACUGUUAAGGAAACUAGGGCAAAGACCCAAGUUUCUGAAUAAGAAAUUCACACUUGUUGAAGUCAGUAUUCUUAUGGGACCAUCACACUCAGUCAAAUAAAACAUGGAAAACCUGAAGGUCAAAUCUCAGUCCUUGUUGAAAAGAUUGUGUGUUGUUUACAUGUUGCUAUUUAUAGUAUUGCCUUUUGAAACUCUUCUCAACCUAUGGAAUCUCAUUCUGAUGAAAGAAGUUAGGAUUAAAACUGAGCCCUAUUUGUCUACCUUUCAUACCAAGUUGCAGACCUGAACAGUUUAUAUCUGAAAAUUUAUUUAAAAUUGGAAUUUACAUAAGGAAUAGAAGGUUUCAUUAACUUUUGACCA